UACGUAGGUGGCAAGCGUUGUCCGGAAUACUGGGCGUAAAGCGUGCGCAGGCGGUUUUGUAAGUCUGUCGUGAAAUCCCCGGGCUCAACCUGGGAAUUGCGAUGGAGACUGCAAGGCUAGAAUCUGGCAGAGGGGGGUAGAAUUCCACGUGUAGCAGUGAAAUGCGUAGAGAUGUGGAGGAACACCGAUGGCGAAGGCAGCCCCCUGGGUCAAGAUUGACGCUCAUGCACGAA
rnacentral:rRNA from 1 species